UACGUAGGGGGCAAGCGUUGUCCGGAUUUAUUGGGCGUAAAGAGCGUGUAGGCGGCCAGGUAGGUCUGCUGUGAAAACUACGAGGCUUAACCUCGAGAUGUCGGCGGAAACCAUCGAUGGCUAGAGUCCGGAAGAGGAGAGCGGAAUUCCCUGGUGUAGCGGUGAAAUGCGCAGAUAUCGAGGAGGAACACCCGUGGCGGAAGGCGGCGUCUCUGGGACGGUACUGACGCUGAGACGCGGAAAGCGUGGGGAGCGAACAGG
rnacentral:rRNA from 1 species